rnacentral:lncRNA from 1 species
AGAAGAUCGAGCGCCUCCCCCUAGGACGGGAACGCCCACUUCAAAAAAAACACCACGAAACGCCCCACAAAAACACCCGAACCCUUUCCCUCUCUCUCCCCCCUCCCCAUGGCAUCGGAGAGUUUCGUCCUCGACCCUCUAAACACCCGCCCUAUCUCGGCUGGCCUCGGCCGAUCCGGCGGCGGCGCCUCCCCUCCGUGGCCCCACAUCUCCCUCCUCUCUUGCCGUAGAUCCCCGAGCCGAACCCACGUGAUCUCCUCACCCUUCGAGUGCGGUGUACAUAGACGGCAGACAGGGUGAAGCCAGGCAGCGGAAGGCAUCGAUCGAGCGCUAUCACAUAGGAUUCUUUUGGAUUUUUUUCCCUCAAUGCUUUCAUAUUAUAAUUUUUACACCUUGGAUUUAUUCUCUCUACAUGGAGGAAAUUUUCUUCGUUCAUCUCACCUAUAUGAAUCUUGGUUAAUUUUAUGAUUUUAUCCAUUAAGUACGAAUUAAGAUUCUCUUUUUAAUUUUAUCGAGAUUUUUGAUUGCCUGCUAAGGGCUGUUAGGUCUUCGUCACAUUCUGAUCAUUUGAUUUACAAGAGUUUCUGAGCCUUUUAUUGGUAAUCACAUGGUAUUUUUUGGAGCAUUUUACAAGGUUCUAGUUGUUGUGCUAUAAUUGGUGAUUUUUUUUUUUU